rnacentral:tmRNA from 1 species
ACAUACACGUUCUAUAAGACUAUUGCUCUUUGAGCUAUGGACAUAAACGCGCUCGUAAUAAGCGGGUCGGACCUCGGGGCGGUACCGAGCGGCUCCACCAUAAACCGAAAUAUUUGCGGACAUAUGGGGUCGAAAUAGGAUAGACGAACGUGUAAAGGAGAUAGCUUUGUCUCGGCGGGAUGCCACCGUUAUCGGCGCAAAAAGUACAAUUGCAAAUGACAAUCGUGCUCCAGUAGCAAUGGCUGCGUAAGCAGUCGGCGAUACUGACCUUUAAUCCCUAGUGAUUAGCAUCGCUGGGUGGGGUUAGAAGGGUUCCUCGCAACAGAAUACCCU